GCAAGGGGAUUAUUAUUUAUUCCAUCAAGAUGUAAACUUGUUAGUCAUCAUUCUAUAAUCUAACGUAAAAUUAUCAAUGACUGGAUAAGGAUGGUCAAAGUACAUAAGUGUGUUCAACAAUAGUUGAACCCUUGGAAUUGACAUACAAGUUUGUCAACAUGAAAAUCAAAAUUAUCUGAAUCAAAUGAAAUCAACAAAUUAUUUUUUAUAUAUAUAUGAUGUCAACAUAAUCUCACUGUAAACCAUACAAAGUGUUAGGUCAUACACACAUGACUGUAGAUAUCACUCAUACACACAACGGC